rnacentral:lncRNA from 1 species
AAGGGAGGUUGUUGAUCUUGGAAGCUAAGGGAAAUGAGGGAUUUGCUUGAUGCUAAACACAUAUUGCUUGAGUGGAGAUUACCCAGGUAUGGUUACUAUGUCUUCAAUGUUUCCAUUAAAUCCUUGUUCUUCUCUGUUUAUCUUCUCUUCGCUGCCCUUUGUUGCGCAUGCAUUCAUUUUUUGUGGGGAUCUCCUAUUAGAGGAGGGAGAAGAGAGGGGAAGAAAAAGAAAAGAAUCGGAGAAGGGAGGUUGUUGAUCUUGGAAGCUAAGGGAAAUGAGGGAUUUGCUUGAAGCUAAGCACAUAUUGCUUGAGUGGAGAUUACCCAUGGUUACUAUGCUUUCAAUGUUUCCAUUAAAACCUUGUUCUUCUCUGUUUAUCUUCUCUUCAUUGCCCUUUGUUGGGCAUGCAUUGAUUUUUACUGGGGAUCUCCUAUUAGAGGAGGGAGAAGGGAGGGGAAGAAAAAGAAAAGAAUCAGAGAAGGGAGGUUGUUGAUCUUGGAAGCUAAGGGAAACGAGGGAUUUGCUUGAUGCUAAGCACAUAUUGCUUGAGUGGAGAUUACCCAGGUAUGGUUACUAUGUUUUCAAUGUUUCCAUUAAAAC